UACAUGGGGUGCAAACGUUGCUCGGAAUUAUUGGGCGUAAAGCGCGCGUAGGCGGUUAUGAAAGUCGGAUGUGAAAGCCCUCGGCUUAACUGAGGAAGUGCACCCGAAACUGAGUAGCUAGAGUACUAAAGAGGGUCGCGGAAUUCCCGGUGUAGAGGUGAAAUUCGUAGAUAUCGGGAGGAACACCGGUGGCGAAGGCGGCUUUUUGGGCCGUUCCUGACGCUGAGGCGCGAAAGCCAGGGGAGCGAACGGG
rnacentral:rRNA from 1 species